AAAUUGAAGAGUUUGAUCAUGGCUCAGAUUGAACGCUGGCGGCAGGCCUAACACAUGCAAGUUGAACGGUAACAGGAAGAAGCUUGCUUCUUUGCUGACGAGUGGCGGACGGGUGAGUAAUGUCUGGGAAACUGCCUGAUGGAGGGGGAUAACUACUGGAAACGGUAGCUAAUACCGCAUAACGUCGCAAGACCAAAGAGGGGGACCUUCGGGCCUCUUGCCAUC
rnacentral:rRNA from 1 species